rnacentral:lncRNA from 1 species
AUCAUUUUCUUACCUACAAGGAACAGGUCCGUAUAGAGACAUUAACCAGAGGUCUGUGUUACAAACUAUAUCACAAACGUUUACUUUUAAUGUCUGAGUAAAUUUGAUUCGCACUUACUGGAUUGUGUCAGGAUUUAUUCUGCAAUAUUGAGAGAUGGAUAGUGUUUGAACUGAAAACUCGUAUCCAAGGCUUGUAAAAUAUCAAGUGGUUUUAGAUUUUAAAUAUUUUAUUAGCGUGUUUUAUAUGGAAUAAUUGUCUACAAAAUGACAAGUGAAACGUUUUUUUAGAUUUUAAAGAUACCAAGGACAGUGUUUUGAACAGUAAAUGCUAUUGCGAGGGCAGGAGUAUUUUAAUUAUAGUCUAUAACACUAUGUUAUAUGGAGAUAUAAUAGUGAUCCGGCUAUGAAACGAUUGGACUGUGUAAGAUAUAUAGUUAACUACGUUUACAUGGUGAUGGAUUAGUCCGCAUGCUGUAUAUAUGUUACUGUUAUAUAAAUUAUUAUAAUAACUACCUACGUAUACUGAUUUUAUGAGUGCCCCGUGUGUAAGGGUUAGGGUGCAAAUAAGGGUGCAAAUUGGAAUUACGCUAUAGAAGCGAAGCUCCUGCUAGAGGAGGAAGAUAAAGACUAGGUAACAGGU